rnacentral:rRNA from 1 species
CCUACGGGUGGCAGCAGUGAGGAAUAUUGGUCAAUGGACGAGAGUCUGAACCAGCCAAGUAGCGUGAAGGAUGACUGCCCUAUGGGUUGUAAACUUCUUUUAUAUGGGAAUAAAACGUUCCACGUGUGGGAUUUUGUAUGUACCAUAUGAAUAAGGAUCGGCUAACUCCGUGCCAGCAGCCGCGGUAAUACGGAGGAUCCGAGCGUUAUCCGGAUUUAUUGGGUUUAAAGGGAGCGUAGGUGGAUUGUUAAGUCAGUUGUGAAAGUUUGCGGCUCAACCGUAAAAUUGCAGUUGAAACUGGCAGUCUUGAGUACAGUAGAGGUGGGCGGAAUUCGUGGUGUAGCGGUGAAAUGCUUAGAUAUCACGAAGAACGCCGAUUGCGAAGGCAGUUCACUGGACUGCAACUGACACUGAGGCUCGAAAGUGUGGGUAUCAAACAGGAUUAGAUACCCCUGUAGUC